rnacentral:misc_RNA from 1 species
GUGGAGUGGGGGCAGCGGGACAUAUUUCCUGGUCGACCCGAAGGAAAACAUGUUCGCGAUCCUGAUGAUUCAGUCGCCCUCACAGCGCGGACGUAUCCAGUCGGCGUUCAGAAGCCUUNNNNNNNNNNNNAUGAGAUAGCGCCGGAACUCGCGCAAAGAGAAAAAGGCCGCCCGGUGAGGCGGCCUUUCGUAUUUCUGUAAUCCGCGCCGAGGAAUUAGCGCGAAUAGAAUUCGAUGAUGAGGUGCGG